rnacentral:rRNA from 1 species
AGUGAACGCUGGCGGUAGGCCUAACACAUGCAAGUCGAACGGCAGCACAGUAAGAGCUUGCUCUUACGGGUGGCGAGUGGCGGACGGGUGAGGAAUACAUCGGAAUCUACUUUUUCGUGGGGGAUAACGUAGGGAAACUUACGCUAAUACCGCAUACGACCUACGGGUGAAAGCAGGGGAUCUUCGGACCUUGCGCGAUUGAAUGAGCCGAUGUCGGAUUAGCUAGUUGGCGGGGUAAAGGCCCACCAAGGCGACGAUCCGUAGCUGGUCUGAGAGGAUGAUCAGCCACACUGGAACUGAGACACGGUCCAGACUCCUACGGGAGGAAGCAGUGGGGAAUAUUGGACAAUGGGCGAAAGCCUGCUCCAGCCAUACCGCGUGGGUGAAGAAGGCCUUCGGGUGGUAAAGCCCUUUUGUUGGGAAAGAAAAGCAGCAGGUUAAUACCCCGCUGUUCUGACGGUACCCAAAGAAUAAGCACCGGCUAACUUCGUG